rnacentral:pre_miRNA from 1 species
GGAAUAUAAGAACCUUUCUCUUAACUUUUAACUAAAAAAGCUAAGAACCGGUUCUUAACUUUUUUAGUUAAAAGUUAAGAGAUGGGUUCUUAUAUUCC